UGGGGAAUAUUGCACAAUGGGCGCAGGCCUGAUGCAGCAACGCCGCGUGAGGGACGACGGCCUUCGGGUUGUAAACCUCUUUUGGCAGGGAAGAAGCGAAAGUGGCGGUACCUGCAGAAAAAGCACCGGCUAACUACGUGCCAGCAGCCGCGGUGAUACGUAGGGUGCAAGCGUUGUCCGGAAUUAUUGGGCGUAAAGAGCUCGUAGGCGGUUUGUCGCGUCUGCUGUGAAAACCCGAGGCUCAACCUCGGGCCUGCAGUGGGUACGGGCAAACUAGAGUGCGGUAGGGGAGAUUGGAAUUCCUGGUGUAGCGGUGGAAUGCGCAGAUAUCAGGAGGAACACCGAUGGCGAAGGCAGAUCUCUGGGCCGUAACUGACGCUGAGGAGCGAAAGCAUGGGGAGCGAACA
rnacentral:rRNA from 1 species